AUUGAACGCUGGCGGCAUGCCUUACACAUGCAAGUCGAACGGCAGCACGGGUGCUUGCACCUGGUGGCGAGUGGCGAACGGGUGAGUAAUACAUCGGAACAUGUCCUGUAGUGGGGGAUAGCCCGGCGAAAGCCGGAUUAAUACCGCAUACGAUCCACGGAUGAAAGCGGGGGACCUUCGGGCCUCGCGCUAUAGGGUUGGCCGAUGGCUGAUUAGCUAGUUGGUGGGGUAAAGGCCUACCAAGGCGACGAUCAGUAGCUGGUCUGAGAGGACGACCAGCCACACUGGGACUGAGACAGGGCCCAGACUCCUACGGGAGGCAGCAGUGGGGAAUUUUGGACAAUGGGCGAAAGCCUGAUCCAGCAAUGCCGCGUGUGUGAAGAAGGCCUUCGGGUUGUAAAGAACUUUUGUCCGGAAAGAAAUCCUUGGCUCUAAUACAGUCGGGGGAUGACGGUACCGGAAGAAUAAGCACCGGCUAACUACGUG
rnacentral:rRNA from 1 species